rnacentral:lncRNA from 1 species
AUGUGACGUUACUAUAUACGGUCUAUCUGAAAUACUAUUGAUAGUAUCAAGCAUUUAGUACCAUCAAAUUUUUCACCGCUAGAUUUAACUCUUUAAUUAUUUUUAUCUGUUAGAUUAUACUAUUCAACCAAUAACUUACUCAACUUUAUAACGACCCAUAUCAUCCUAAUCGUACAUUUUUUUAUCCAAAGGUUAAAAAUUUAAUAGCACCAAACACUUCGUGCUAUUAAUAAUAUUCCAGCCUAGUUCUACAAUAUAUAUAUAUAUAUAUAUNCAUUCGAUUUAGUAUUCUGAUCAUAAGUGACAAAAAAAAUUAAUAAUUGAUAUUCGAUAUCUUAGUAAUUUUAAUUAUUUUAUAAUUUUAAUUAAAAUAUUUUUAAUAAAAUAAAUAAACAGAUAGUAUAUUAUUUUUCUCUAAAAAUUAAAAAUUAGUUCAUUCUG